rnacentral:lncRNA from 1 species
AUUAAGAAAAGAGAAAGAAAGGAAAAAGGGAGAAAAGAAAAGGGAAAAGAUGCAAACACCUAGAGCAACUUUGCUUUUGAAAAAGGCAUCUGUGCAGAGCCCCCACUGAAUUUCCAUUCCUGAAAGUGCUCUUUAUAAAUGUGUAUAACAAUAGCCUAGAGGAAACGUACAAGUCAGCUGCCAAAGGAGUGGUGGCGUCUGUCUCAGUAAACUCAAGAUUGUAGAGGUGGGGGUCAGCGGAGAAGGGAGGGCAGCAUUUGCAUUAGGAUACCACCACCUCCCCCCAUCUCAUUGCUUAUAAUUAGUGAGAGAAAUCUGAGCUACUGCCAAUGUCUGCGGACCUUGAAUAUUAUAAGGCCAACGUGGCGUCAAAUAUCUUAACAUUCAUAAGUGUUAUGGGCUGUAAAUAAAGCCUGUGGAUUUAUGACCUGGUGGUGCGCUUGCCAGCAAAAAGACUGGGGCACAUUUCUUUCAGCAGACCUGUCGAGGUGCGAGUUUGCCUUUGGUUGUAAAAUUAACCAUUUCCUUCACAAAUGUGCUCAAUUAUAAGUCAGAGUUGAAGAUUUACUUACAUAGUUGCCAAUAUUCACUCCCAGAAGAAACUCAGAUGCCCACAUCACACACCCCUUUGAAAAUAAGACCCUCAAGAAUUUGGUUCAGCCUCCUUUUCCAAACUUUAAAAUGUGUCACCUCAAAAGAAUUAUAAAUGCAGUCAAAGAUAUUAUCUAAUGCCACUCACCAAGACUAAAAAGCUUACACUUACUUCCCUGGAAAGUGCUUAUUUAUUUGGCAACUCCAGCAUUUAAAAAAAAAAAAAAAAAAAAAAAGGUAAAUCACUCCUUGCCUGAAAUCUCCUCCCUUCCCCCAAUAUAAUGUCAUCUACUUCCUGUGCAGGAGAGAGCAUUUGCUAAAUCCAGGUUGUCUCAUACUUAACUGCCAAUAAACCAACUUCCACAUAACUUCCAGACAGCUGGGGGAAAGGUCCUCGGAGUUUUAGUCAUGGUCCAGAAACACGCGUCCACACAAAAAUUUGCAGCUGUCCUUUCUCUACAGUGCAUUUUUAAUGUGAUUCAGGGGGGCCUGUUGUGAAACAUCUGACAAAAUGUAAAAUCCUCUUAGAUACCUUCUAGUUUACCCACUGCACGUGUGUAAGAGAAGUUGCACCAGGAUUUCUCCACCGAGAAAUCUAGGCACUUUUUGCACACAGCCAGGGGCACCUCGUGGGAUGUAAGGAGGCAUUCGAAACCUGGAAAGACUUCUACUGUAAUCUUUAAAAGCACAGCCUCUGGUGCAACUAUUAAAAUGCUAGUUUUCUAAAGCAAAUAUUUUUUUCAAUGGCGUGCAGAACUGCAGCGAUCCAGCACGGCAAACAGAACAGCAUUCUUGAUCUGCAAGCCCCUGGAAACCUUCCGGUAACUUUUUCACAGCUUGCUAAGAAACAGAAAGCUGACCAACUUCCAGCAAUGACUCUAAAUGAAAUCCCUAUCAGUAAAAUUAAAAUCAAGGUGAAGAACUCCUAGCAAGAACGAGGAUUGUUUUCCUCAAAAAACUCUUUCUCAAUCAGACACAGAGGGCAUCAGUCAAAGCUCCUUCCCUUAAACAGUCAAAAGUUUCCAAAAACACGUCUUCCAGAUAAGCUCGUUAGGCUCCCAAAUGCCUGAGUUUGUUUCUGGGAUUUCAGAAAGUUUCAAUAUCAACAAAGUGGAAAGCGCUGGCAUAUUUAAUUUAUAAUCAUUAAAAUAUGACUUAUUGGGUGAAUGUUGAGCCUAUAAUCCAUACUGCAGACAUUAAACCCCAACCUAUAAAGAUUAGCAUGGAAUUAAUACGGUUGCAUUGAGAUUGAAAUCUAAACAUGUUCGCCAUAAAUAUUUCUGAAGGAGAUGAAAAACAAUUAGCAUAAAUACCAAAGAAGGGUAAGAACACCUGUUCUUUUUCAGGGCGAUAAGCAUUUUAUUGUUCUCUAUUUAAAAUGUAAUGACCUGUGUAAUUACAGUAAUAUUACAUUGUUAUGUAGGGGCUUGGAAUGUCACACUUUGAAAAGUGUUGUCAAAACAAUCAGGGGUGAGGUGGGGGGGUGGGAGGACAACUGGGAAGGACCACCAUUAACCCUUCACACUCCAAGGUCUAAAUCUUUUGUAUUAGAAAGGAUUAUGUUGUUUCAGUGAGGAAAAAACGUCCAUUUUUCACAAGCCAGAAAGAGAAGUUGCCCGGCUAAAUAAAAUCCCAAUGAAUAGGCCCCUCUCGGUUUCCUUUAAAUGCUGGAUUCCAAGUUCAAAAAUGAAUUCAAGAUGCAGCUUAUUUAUCUGUUCAACCUAGUAGCAAAGAGCUCGGUUGAAAAGCAAAUAACUUUGGAUAAGAGAAGAUGCAAGGGCUCGAAUAAUCAAGUCCUUAAAAAGAAAUUUCAAACCUAACUGGAAUUUCAACCACCAUAUUCCUAUUUCCACUUUGCCAGGAGGGAAAAAGAAAUGUAAAACUACUUUUUCCAAUCAACUUUAAUAGGUUACAGUAUUCUUAUCUUUAAUAUACAAAUGUUACCACAGUUCUAAUAUUUGCAGUUCUAACACUUCCCAUCUACUUAACUAGACCUCUCCUUAAUGCAGUUUUGUAUCUGAAUCUGUCUUUUUAAAAGCCAUUCCUAUUACUGAAUCAAAGACUAAAUUAAUAUUAUGCAGAAAUCUUUGUCAUUUUAAAAUAAAAUUAUUACUAUCAAGCUUUAUGGUGUCUUCAGCAAUUAAAGCAUUAUUCUUGAGAUAAUGUAUUAUUCAUCAUAAGCCGAUUUAAUGAUACUCUCUAAUUCUUUACAUUCUUAAAUAAAAAAGCAGAAAUCAGGGUUCCAGAGAGUUUGCUUUUUAAAGGAUGCAGCUGCUUACAGGUACACCAUAAGUAACAGAAAAUGUAGCAAAAAUCACCGCCACCAAGGAGCAAAGGGAAAAUAAUAAAGCAUACAGCGAAAUUUGUCUUUACACCUUGCCAUUAAAAACACACCCUAUAAAACACUAAGGAUUUCAGAAGAGUAUGGGAAGCCCGCUAUCUUGCCUAUGCAUUCCUCCAUUCCUCCCGCAGCUGUAUCAAAUCUGGAUUGCAAGCUGGCCUUCUGAUUGAAGACGUCAGGAAUGACACACAACAGCCUACCAUCCUCAUUUCCACUGCUCUGCUGACCAGCCUAAAUAAAUAACUUUAAUUUUGGAGCACAUAAUCUAACCCAGGUAACAGGGAGGAAGGACGAAGGGGCAGUGUACACAAAGAUGUCUGCUGGUGUUUGACAUGUAAGUACUAAAACUGCCUACUGAGUUCAGAAAUGUGUUCUGAGACUCAAUCUGAUGUCACAGCACCAGGCCACCCGCUAUGUCCACAAUUAAAAUAACUAGACGCCGUCUAUUCCUAUAAUGCCCACAAAAGGGACCGAUCAUUGGGAGCCUUCCUUUUCUCACCGGGAAAUCAUUUAUUUGCCUUUAGCAAUUUCCCUGUUUGCUAAUUACAAGACAACACAACUGCUCAAGUUUGAGAAGGGAUGGCAAGAUUGCCAGUAUCAGACAGCGAGUUUAAAAAGAGUCAAGAAAGCUAGCAAGCCCGCCAUCAAAGCUCAAUAUUCAGAUGGUUAAGUGGAUUUUAAAAUAAUACCAGGGAGGUUUCCAUCGGAAGGGGGAGGGGAGGAGAGGCAGAAAUUCUCAGGGAUUCUUUGGAAUGUUGCUUGGUCCGGUUUAUUGGUAGGCGAACACUGCGAUUCUGAGCCGAACGGUCCCGUUUAAGAUGCCCCACAAGCUCCCAAGAAAAAUACAAAGUAAGCGAACUGUGCUUCCCCUACAGCUGCAAGCCCAGAGCGCGGCCCCUGCAGCCUGGUGGAACUGGCCCUGGAGAAGGGGGUUGAGCCGAACCGCUCUCCCAGCUUCCCAAGCAUGUCUGGGCGCCGGGCAGGGGGGGAAUAAUUAUUUCUCUUCCCUAGCCAUAAAAAAAAUGACCGGUCUAGCAUGCCCUUGCCAUUUUGCCAGGGCCCAAAAAAGCAAGUCAAACCUGAUAGUUAAUAUUUUAAUGCUUAAAAACACUUGUAGAUCUGAUCGACUCCCGUCCGGCAAGCCCUCGGCCAUUAGCACCGAAUCCAUGGCUGCUGAACAGUGGGUGCAUUAUUUCAAAUUGCUAUCUAGAGUUACCGAAAAAGAAAAAACAAAAGUCGUGUGUGUAAAUAAGGGGUAGGGGACCAAACUGGAGAAGGUGUAAAAUGACAAUACCGGGAAGCCGGGCACAAAUGCGUCUUGCGUCCAGGGAUUCGUAAUCCAGGCUUCUUAGAAGAGGGAGGGAGGGAUGAGGAGGAGGGGGUUCAGGGUGAGGGCAGGGGGCACAGGCCGGUGGGGGAGGGGAUGAGCCGUAUUAACAAAUGUCAGGGUUGGGCGCGGGACCGACCCUGCAGGAAGCGCCCCCCGAGCCCGGCACCCCGCGCUGCCCUGGGGCCCCCAAAGUUGGGUGGCCGGCGAUCGGCGGCCCACUCCCUUGAAGGAGAGGCGCCCCAGCCUCCCUCGGCCCCCGCACCUCCUUGAGCCCGCACACCCUGGUCUCUGGCCCCCCUGGGGCCCACGACGGGCCUACACGGAAGCUGGCGAGCGCCGACCCCGCCAUACAUCCCAAGGCGCCAAAAUUCCCUAGAAAUACACAAGUCCGCUUGGAGGAGUCCAUUCCGGCUGCACACAAACCAAGAAUCCGGGCCGCAGGGGCCUCCCCGCCCCACUCAGCCCUGCUGCCCUGCGCGGCCCGGGAGAGCCCGCAGCCAGUGCGCCGGGCAGCGGAGCCCGCCACGGCGCCCAGGGCGCUCGCGGCCCUGCGGGUUGCCAAAGAAAAGGACGCCUCAGAGCCCCCAAGUUUGCGGUGGGACCAAUCUGGGAAGUGUGACCUUCCAGGGGAAGGGGGAAGGAGGGCCGAGAGCCAGCAAUCUCCACUAGAAAGCUAAAUACAUAGUCGCCCAAAAGAGAAAGCCAAGGAGCCUCUCCAGGGCCCCGGGCUCUGCGCGCUAGCCAGUUCUCAAGUCCAAUGCCUGGAGGAAACCCACUCUCUACCCCGCGCAUCGGGCGCAGCACAGUCAGUCACUCGUGGCCCGCAGCGGCAGCCAAGGGGUUAACCGGGGAAAGCCCAAGACGCCACAGAAGAGGGAAGGAAGAGAAGGAGAGAGAGGGAGAGAGAGCAAAGGAAGAGCCACAGAGUCAUCUUCCCAGGGUGAAGAAACAAACACCACCACCAAAGGGGGAGGGGGAACCAGAACGCAAAGGAAAGUUCUUCGGAUUCCCCCCCCUCCCCACCAACAAAGCCCUGCUUGGACAGAGAGGUCUCCCCAACAUCACGAGGCAGCAAACUGAAAGCAAGAACGUGGCGAAGUGCAAACAAAUCCAGUCCACAAAAGGCAGAAAACAACAUUUGCCAAGCCCAGGAAACAGAUAAAAAACCCCACCAGCCCGAGGGGCUUUUCCUACCUCGGAAUCGGAGGAGCUGUUUUGAUUCGUUUCUGAUUCAUUGACUAGAGACGAUUUGACAUCAGCUAAAUCCCUCUCUGCCGAGGAGUUUUCGGAGCUCUUCUCCUCCUGUUCGCCCUCGUCUUUGAAGGAAAUCAGUUCGUCGUUGGCGCCUAGGUCAUCCCCUCCACCGCCGUUCAGCUGCGGCAUUUUUUUUUCACCCACCAGCAGCAAUUUUGGAAGAAAAAUGAAGGAGGAAGAAAAGCCAAAAAAAAUCACCCCCAAAAAGUUUUGCCCCCCCAAAAAAUAUUGCAAGAAAAAGACGAGUCCAAGGUGAACUUUUUUCUGCUUGGGGGUCUUUUUCUCCUGGGGAGGGGAAAAGAGGGAGGAGGGGAGGGGAAGGGGGGGGAGAUCUUCUGCACGCGUGAGUUUGGGUUUCUUUUUUCUCUCGUUCCCAAGGAUCCGAUCAAUGUG